GCCUGCGGGAUGUAGUGGUCAGCACGUUCGACGGGUAACCGAGAGGUCCGUGGUUCGAUUCCCGGCGAAGGUG
rnacentral:tRNA from 1 species